GUGCUCGCUUUGGCAGCACAUACAAAAUUGGAAUGAUACAGAGAAGAUUAGCAUGGCUCCUGUGCAAGGAUGCCAUGCAAAUUCAUUAAAUGUUCUGUAUUUUG
ensembl:snRNA U6 U6 spliceosomal RNA